UACGGGGGGGGCAAGCGUUGUUCGGAAUUACUGGGCGUAAAGGGCUCGUAGGCGGCCAACUAAGUCGGAUGUGAAAUCCCCAGGCUUAACCUGGGAAUUGCAUCCGAUACUGGAUGGCUUGAAUCCGGGAGAGGGAUGCGGAAUUCCAGGUGUAGCGGUGAAAUGCGUAGAUAUCUGGAGGAACACCGGUGGCGAAGGCGGCAUCCUGGACCGAUACUGACGCUGAGGAGCGAAAGCCAGGGGAGCAAACGGG
rnacentral:rRNA from 1 species